rnacentral:piRNA from 1 species
UGAUUGCAUGAAGGUUCAG